rnacentral:rRNA from 1 species
UACGAAGGGUGCAAGCGUUACUCGGAAUUACUGGGCGUAAAGCGUGCGUAGGUGGUUGUUUAAGUCUGUUGUGAAAGCCCUGGGCUCAACCUGGGAAUUGCAGUGGAUACUGGGCGACUAGAGUGUGGUAGAGGGUAGUGGAAUUCCCGGUGUAGCAGUGAAAUGCGUAGAGAUCGGGAGGAACAUCCAUGGCGAAGGCAGGUCUCUGGGCCGAUACUGACGCUCAUGCACGAAAGCGUGGGGAGCAAACAGG